rnacentral:tRNA from 1 species
GCCACCUUAGCUCAGUUGGUAGAGCAGCAGACUGAAAAUCUGCGUGUCUAGAGUUCAAUUCUCUGAGGUGGCA